CGGAGGGAUCAUUACCCGAGUUUACAACUCCCAAACCCCUGUGAACAUACCUAUACGUUGCCUCGGCGGAUCAGCCCGCGCCCUGUAAAACGGGACGGCCCGCCCGAGGACCCUAAACUCUGUUUUUAGUGGAACUUCUGAGUAAAACAAACAAAUAAAUCAAAACUUUCAACAACGGAUCUCUUGGUUCUGGCAUCGAUGAAGAACGCAGCAAAAUGCGAUAAGUAAUGUGAAUUGCAGAAUUCAGUGAAUCAUCGAAUCUUUGAACGCACAUUGCGCCCGCCAGUAUUCUGGCGGGCAUGCCUGUUCGAGCGUCAUUUCAACCCUCAAGCUCAGCUUGGUGUUGGGACUCGCGGUAACCCGCGUUCCCCAAAUCGAUUGGCGGUCACGUCGAGCUUCCAUAGCGUAGUAAUCAUACACCUCGUUACUGGUAAUCGUCGCGGCCACGCCGUUAAACCCCAACUUCUGAAUGUGACCUCGGAUCA
rnacentral:rRNA from 1 species